rnacentral:misc_RNA from 1 species
GAGAUGCGAUAAGUUGUGUGAAUUGCAGAAUUCAGUGAAUCAUCGAAGCUUUGAACGCACAUUGCGCCCGUUGGUAUUCCAUGGGGCAUGCCUGUUCGAGCGUCAUUUGUGCCCUCAAGCUUUGCUUGGUGUUGGGCGUCUUGUCCUCUUCUGGAGGACUCGCCUCAAAACAAUUGGCAGCCGGCAUAUUGGUAUCGGAGCGCAGCACAAGUCGCACUUCUUUCCAUGAAUGUUGGCAUCCAUCAAGCCCAUUUUUUCACUCUUCACCUCGGAUUAGGUAGGGAUACCCGCUCACCUUAA